rnacentral:rRNA from 1 species
UACGUAGGUGUCAAGCGUUGUCCGGAUUUAUUGGGCGUAAAGCGCCCGCAGGCGGCUUGCCCAGUUCGAUGUGAAAUCUCCCGGCUCAACUGGGAGGGUGCAUCGAAAACUGGCAGGCUUGAGGCAGGGAGAGGGAUGUGGAAUUCCAGGUGUAGUGGUGAAGUGCGUAGAUAUCUGGAGGAACACCAGUGGCGAAGGCGGCAUCCUGGCCCUGUCCUGACGCUCAGGGGCGAAAGCGUGGGGAGCAAACCGG